rnacentral:misc_RNA from 1 species
GAUGAAGAACGUAGCGAAAUGCGAUAAGUAAUGUGAAUUGCAGAAUUCAGUGAAUCAUCGAAUCUUUGAACGCACAUUGCGCCCGCCAGUAUUCUGGCGGGCAUGCCUGUUCGAGCGUCAUUUCAACCAUCAAGCCCCCGGCUUGUGUUGGGGACCUGCGGCUGCCGCAGGCCCUGAAAACCAGUGGCGGGCUCGCUAGUCACUCCGAGCGUAGUAAUACAUCUCGCUCAGGGCGGGCUGCGGGUUCCGGCCGUUAAAAGCCUUAUUUACCCAAGGUUGACCUCGGAUCAGGUAGGAAGACCCGCUGAACUUAAGCAUAUCAAUAAGCGGAGGA